CGAGUACGAGAUGCUACGGCAUUGAAGCAGUCUAUGUCAUACUUCCAAGAAAAGCUUGCACUGUCAUAAACAAAUAAUGCCUGUACCAUAACCGACACAGGUGGGUAGGUAGAGUAUACUAAGGGGCGCGAGAUAACUCUCUCUAAGGAACUCGGCAAAAUACUCCGUAACUUCGGGAGAAGGAGUGCCUUCUUUUUAGAAGGUUGCAAUAACAAGAUCCAAGCAACUGUUUAUCAAAAACACAGGUCUCCGCUAAGUCGUAAGACGAUGUAUGGGGGCUGACGCCUGCCCAGUGCCAGAAGGUUAAAGAAGUCGGUUAGCAUUCGCAAAGCUGGUGACUGAAGCCCUGGUGAACGGCGGCCGUAACUAUAACGGUCCUAAGGUAGCGAAAUUCCUUGUCGGGUAAGUUCCGACCCGCACGAAAGGCGUAAUGAUUUGGAUACUGUCUCAGAGAGGGACUCGGUGAAAUAGACUUGUCUGUGAAGAUGCGGACUACCUGCACCAGGACAGAAAGACCCUAUGAAGCUUUACUGUAACUUGGAAUUGAAAUUGGACUUUAUUUGCGCAGUAUAGGUGGGAGGCGUUGAGAAUAUUCUUGCGGGAAUAUAGGAGCCAUCAGUGAGAUACCACUCUUGUAAUGUUAGAUUUCUAACUUUGAAUCAUUAUCUGGUCAAAGAACAGUUUCAGGCGGGCAGUUUGACUGGGGCGGUCGCCUCCUAAAUGGUAACGGAGGCGCACAAAGGUUUCCUCUGAACGGGUAGAAAUCGUAUCUAGAGUGUAAAGGCAUAAGGAAGCUUGACUGUGAGACCUACAAGUCGAGCAGGGACGAAAGUCGGUCUUAGUGAUCUGACGGUGCUGAGUGGAAAGGCCGUCACUCAACGGAUAAAAGUUACUCUAGGAUAACAGGCUGAUCUCCCCCAAGAGUUCACAUCGACGGGGAGGUUUGGCACCUCGAUGUCGGCUCAUCGCAUCCUGGGGCGGUAGUACGUCCCAAGGGUUGGGCUGUUCGCCCAUGAAAGCGGUACGCGAGCUGGGUUCAGAACGUCGUGAGACAGUUCGGUCCAUAUCCGGUGUAGGCGUUAGAAUAUUGAGAGGAGCCUUCUUUAGUACGAGAGGACCGAGAAGGACAUACCUAUGGUGUACCAGUUAUCGUGCCAACGGUAAACGCUGGGUAGCUACGUAUGGAGUGGAUAACCGCUGAAAGCAUCUAAGUGGGAAGCCCACCUCAAGAUAAGCAUUCUC
rnacentral:rRNA from 1 species